AGAACGAACGCUGGCGGCAUGCCUAAUACAUGCAAGUCGAACGAACACUUCGGUGUUAGUGGCGCACGGGUGCGUAACGCGUGGGAAUCUGCCCUUGGGUUCGGAAUAACAGUUGGAAACGACUGCUAAUACCGGAUGAUAUCGAAAGAUCAAAGAUUUAUCGCCCAGGGAUGAGCCCGCGUAGGAUUAGCUAGUUGGUGAGGUAAAGGCUCACCAAGGCGACGAUCCUUAGCUGGUCUGAGAGGAUGAUCAGCCACACUGGGACUGAGACACGGCCCAGACUCCUACGGGAGCAGCAGUAGGGAAUAUGGACAAUGGGCGCAAGCCUGAUCCAGCAAUGCCGCGUGAGUGAUGAAGGCCUUAGGGUUGUAAAGCUUCUUUACCGAGAUGAUAAUGACAGUAUCGGAGAAAGUAACGCCCCGGACUAACCGUCCCGCGACCAGCCAAGGCCCGAC
rnacentral:rRNA from 1 species